UGGGGAAUUUUGGACAAUGGGGGCAACCCUGAUCCAGCAAUGCCGCGUGAGUGAAGAAGGCCUUCGGGUUGUAAAGCUCUUUUGUCAGGGAAGAAACGGUUUGGGCUAAUACCCUGGACUAAUGACGGUACCUGAAGAAUAAGCACCGGCUAACUACGUGCCAGCAGCCGCGGUAAUACGUAGGGUGCAAGCGUUAAUCGGAAUUACUGGGCGUAAAGCGUGCGCAGGCGGUUUUGUAAGACAGAUGUGAAAUGCCCGGGCUUAACCUGGGAACUGCAUUUGUGACUGCAAGGCUAGAGUUUGGCAGAGGGGGGUAGAAUUCCACGUGUAGCAGUGAAAUGCGUAGAUAUGUGGAGGAAUACCGAUGGCGAAGGCAGCCCCCUGGGUCAAGACUGACGCUCAUGCACGAAAGCGUGGGGAGCAAACAGGAUUAGAUACCCGCGUAGUCC
rnacentral:rRNA from 1 species